GGGAUGAAUUGGAACGCAGACUGCGAGCCAGCCUAAUCGCCCAACAUCCAUUGCCCAACCUCACUAAUGCUCUUGUGGAAAGCCUUCCCAGAAGAGUGGAGGCUGUUAUAGCAGCAAAUGGGGGGGACCAACUUAGAUGUUCCAUGAGUAGGUGUCCACUUACUUUUGGUCAUGUAGUGUAUGUUCUAUAGAAUUUGACGCACCUACGUGCAAACACACACACACAGUUGAAAUAAGCAACAAGACCAUGUCAGGUUUUCUUAAUAAAAAUAAUUCAUUUCAGGACAUAUAAAUAAGUAUUGAAACGCACAGUACAGAUAUUAUUUGAUAUUAAUAAAUACUUAACAAAACAAAGCUUUUCAUACAAUACCCUAUUAUUGACAGGUUACACAAAAAUGUCUCACAACUUUUGCAUGUUUUGUUACAACUUUGCAUGUUUAUGUGUAACAUUGGAAUGUCGUCCCUAUGUAUGUCAAGGAAAGUACCAGAGCAGCUUAUUAAGUAUUGUGUAGUAUGUAGUGGUCUGAACGGGGUUCAGACCCAUAACCAAAGAGCAUGUACUGACAACUAAUUACCCUUGUAAUAUAUUAUAUUAUGUGUAUCAUCUGCUUAAAGCGCAGAUCUAUAUCUAGGCUGCCAUAAGUCUAAUCAACAAAAUACAUUUUUUGCAGGCGUCAGAUAUGCAUAUUGAACAGAUGUCGGAUAUGCAUAUUGAACAGACUUCAACGAUGCCUUAGUUAAGAGGUCGAAUCAAUGCUUUGAAGACGAUGGCAUGUUUUUGAGCAGGAAGGAAAUGUCAGUUCAAAUAUAUAGGUUUAAAAGAAGAAAACACAGGCAUGUCAGUUUUAUAUCAAACAGAGUAGUAGAGUGAGGCAUCGUGUGAGCAGAGCAGAUUUACGCAGAGCCCCUGCGAUAAAGAGGGACUAUACUGCAGGCCAAGUUCUAUGGGUGGUGAGGUAUUUUACUGCAGGCUUGUAUUUGUAUUUAUUAUGGAUCCCCAUCAGCUGCAGCCAAAGCAGCAGCUACUAUUCCUGGGGUCCAGCCAUGCCACAGCUACAAGGUAUGAACCAAGCUAAGGGCUGUGUUGCUGUUUUUCCCCACAGGUGUUUGUUAAUGUUCUCCCUCCCUCCAUCUUCUGAAUGAGGUGUCGAGCUCUACGGGGAUUUCUCCUGGAUUCAUGUUCUCCCUCCUCUGAAUGGGGUGUUGAGCUGUACGGGGAUUUCUCCUGCCUUUAUGUUCUCCUUCCUUACCUCCAAACACACACUCCUUUCCUCACUGGCAAUCCCCUUGGACGAGAUCAACUGAACUCUGCUCUCAUCUAUAAGUAACUCAUUAACUAGGAGUCUGUGUGAAGGUAAUUGCCCAGCAUUACCACAUAUAGAACACACUGUAACAUGGUACAACUCUCAGGGCAAGCGCUAACUUGGACUUCUACAGUAGAGAUACAAAAAGUGGUCGACAGCAAACAACGUCAAAACGACAUAUGUACUGCCAGCAGACAUCUAUGUGGUGGUGGGAGAGGUUGAAAACAAGAACACAACAGCAUAUGUACUGCCAGCAGACAUCUAUGUGGUGGUGGGAGAGGUUGAAAACAAGAACACAACAGCAUAUGUACUGCCAGCAGACAUCUAUGUGGUGUUGGGAGAGUUUGAAAACAAGAACACAACAGCAUAUGUACUGCCAGCAGACAUCUAUGUGGUGUUGGGAGAGGUUGAAA
ensembl:lncRNA